rnacentral:rRNA from 1 species
GACGAACGCUGGCGGCGUGCCUAAUACAUGCAAGUAGAACGCACAGUUUAUACCGUAGCUUGCUACACCAUAGACUGUGAGUUGCGAACGGGUGAGUAACGCGUAGGUAACCUGCCUGGUAGCGGGGGAUAACUAUUGGAAACGAUAGCUAAUACCGCAUAAUAUUGAUUAUUGCAUGAUAAUUAAUUGAAAGGUGCAAUUGCACCACUACCAGAUGGACCUGCGUUGUAUUAGCUAGUAGGUGAGGUAACGGCUCACCUAGGCGACGAUACAUAGCCGACCUGAGAGGGUGAUCGGCCACACUGGGACUGAGACACGGCCCAGACUCCUACGGGAGGCAGCAGUAGGGAAUCUUCGGCAAUGGACGAAAGUCUGACCGAGCAACGCCGCGUGAGUGAAGAAGGUUUUCGGAUCGUAAAGCUCUGUUGUAAGGGAAGAACGGGUGUGAGAGUGGAAAGUUCACACUGUGACGGUAUCUUACCAGAAAGGGACGGCUAACUACGUG